rnacentral:rRNA from 1 species
UACGAAGGGGGCUAGCGUUGUUCGGAGUUACUGGGCGUAAAGGGCGCGUAGGCGGCCCUCCAAGUCGGGUGUGAAAGCCCACGGCUCAACCGUGGAAUUGCGCUCGAGACUGGUCUGCUUGAGUUCGGGAGAGGAGAGUGGAAUUCCCAGUGUAGAGGUGAAAUUCGUAGAUAUUGGGAAGAACACCGGUGGCGAAGGCGGCUCUCUGGACCGAGACUGACGCUGAGGCGCGAAAGCGUGGGGAGCAAACAGG